rnacentral:rRNA from 1 species
UACGGGGGGAGCAAGCGUUGUUCGGAUUUACUGGGCGUAAAGGGCGCGUAGGCGGCCACUGCAAGUCAGUUGUGAAAUCUCCGGGCUUAACCCGGAAAGGUCAACUGAUACUGCAGGGCUAGAGUGCAGAAGGGGCAACUGGAAUUCUCGGUGUAGCGGUGAAAUGCGUAGAUAUCGAGAGGAACACCUGCAGCGAAGGCGGGUUGCUGGGCUGACACUGACGCUGAGGCGCGAAAGCCAGGGGAGCGAACGGG